rnacentral:misc_RNA from 1 species
CUGCCACGCACAAGUACAAAGGCAACGUCACGGACAAGCCGCGACCACCACCAGACUUUCCAGCCGCCCAUUCUGACCUCACCGUUACUCCCUUCACCCUGCUGCGCUCCUUUUUGUUUGGUUUUCCGUCCGUCUUCUGCUUACGUAUUCCGGCUUACUGAGCCACCUUUGCCGCAUGAAAGGGAAGCGUGACACGCAGCGCCGCAGGACUAGGGUGAGCCGCGGUCGCAUGCGCCUACGUGUGGACUUGGAUCGGGGUGGAGUGGAUAUGUCAAAGGCAUACAGCAUCUCGCGUUGAAGUGGCCUCUCUCUUGGCGCCUCCGUGUUCUUGAUAUCGAACGACACGGUACAGUCUAUACUGUCGGAUUGCACCACACUAGCGCACCUCACGAUGGCAAAAGUUUGCUGAAGAGGGGGGAGAGAGGGAGGGGGAGGGCAAGUACUCCGUCAGCCCGUGUUUCGCCCUCUGGUGCUUCAAAAUUUCUACGGGAUGCUGCAGAGAGCUAUCAGAGGUCGCUCGCACGCUGCUGGGCCCUUGUACGGACUGGGCAAGUAGCCGCCGUCGAGAAAAGGCGUCAUGCCGUCUCCUGAGGGCCCAGGGACAGGGCCGCGAUGUGCGCGUUCUCAUGAUCCGAAAACUCACCCCCUCCUUGCCUGCAUGACCUCUUGGGUUUAUCCUCUCGUCUGCUCGCACAGCAUGGCAGCUGCAAUGCACACACACGCCCCUCUCGCUCCCUGCACUCUCUCCUCCCCUCUCUUUCUGCAG